rnacentral:lncRNA from 1 species
UACUUGUUAGCCUUACUUGUGCUGAAUUUCACAUGUUUCACUAUUUUUUAAGGGCAAAGGUGCUUUGGCCAAAAUGUUUUGCUUGCAAAUGUGUUGACCGCAUUUACUUCUCUGCCUAGUAUGUUCCUUUUGUUAAGUUUACAAGGGAGAGGUCAAACCUCUUAAACAAAAACAAAACAUAGGGUCGCAGCCCCUAAAAUAUUUGCACCACGCAAUUCACUAAGUUCCUGUGGCGGUUCUGCUAUAAUCUGCAUCCCAGAUUCUUUGUUGACACUACUUUUAGCUAGCUAGUCUGCACACUUACUUCUUUCUCCAAACAUGUUGUAGCCAGGAUUCCCGAUCCGUGCUUAAAACAUUCCUGAUCUGACAUAUUAGAUUGUAUAGUGGUGAGUCCUAUCCUGCUCCUUGUAUUAGUUCGAAAGCUGCCUUGCAAUUCGUGUCCCGAAUCACUCUUCUUUCUCCAGAGUUCCAAGCCAUUUUUAUCCUUUUGAGUACUCCCCACAGCUCUGGUAAGUGCUAUCAUAUUAUCUAUUAGCCCAAUAUUCACUAUAAAACCUGCUUUCCAUCUCCCCCAGCUAUCUAUAUGUCCCUUUUCAAAUUAAUAUGGCUUUGCCUCUUCUACUUGGAAUAAUGCUAAAUUGAGAAGUGUACAUCUUGCCACAGUUAAUUGCUAAUUAUUGAUAGUUUCAUGUCUUACAUGGUAGUUUGUUCUCCAUAUAGCAUUAUUUUAUACUGUAUAAUCACAAACUUUUUGCUGGAUGUAGGUUGGAUUUUCUAUUAAUAGAGUAAUAAUACUAACUUUUAUGUGGGUUUUGAAGGCAUUCCUUGAGGUAAUACCUUUUCUUUUCACAUGAAUGGUUCCCAUUUUUGGUGCCAUUCUUGAAGUAAAUUUCACUGUGAAUGUUUUGCAAUGUCCCGCCACUUGCCUAACUCACUAGUUUGAUUGGAAUACAAUAUUAAGGGGUGCUGGUUUUCUAUGGAAUUAAUACACCAUGAUAAACAGCAAAAGUAAUUUCAGAGAUCUAGAACAAGAAAGUUGUUAUUUGCUUUUAAAUGGCAAAGAAACAUUCUAGUUAUGUUGGUACACAUUGCUCCUACUUGACACCUUAUAUCAUGAUCGACAUUACUUUGGUUAUCAUACUUGACACCUUGUAUCCUCUGUGGUGCAUUAGUUUGGAUUGUUUUGGUUUAGUUUAGUUUAGUUUAUUUGAAUGUUUUAGCUAAGCAAGUGAACUGAAGUUGCUUUUCCUUUAGUGUUGUGCUUAUCGUCUUAUCAACUGGUUAUAUUGUUCAUAGCAGUACUUAUAUCAGUACUUGUUAUAGUAGUGCUUGUUGCCUUAUCAACUUGUUAUAUUAUUCCUUUGAGGCUGAAGUUUAAUAGCAGUACUUAUUUCUUGAGCUAAUUUGGUGCAUUAGUUUAGGGCUGAUUUUGAUUUUCUUUGGGGCUGAUUUUGAAUGUCCAGCUUUAAUUAUUGAGGUUCGUAUUGGAUUGCAAAUUUUAGCUAAGCAACCGAACUACAAGAGAUAUAGUGAAAUUGGGAAAUGGCAAGGUUUAGUGAAAUUUUGUCAUAUGUUAAAAAUUCCCCCUUGUGUUGAAAUUUGGUAUUUUUUUUUCACGACAAAACAGCCUAGCAAAUUGUCACACUUAAAAGACAGUAUCUUUGAUUGGAACAAAACAAUGACUAAAUUCGUUUAUAUUAUUCCAAUCUUGUUUGCCACAUCCAAAGCAUCGUAGUCUGGAGUCAACCGAACAUAUGCUUUCUUUGUUCCAUCAGGCCUGAUCAAAGUGUUCACUUUCUUGGUCUGUAUGUCGUACAUCUUCUUCACUGCAUCUUUGAUUUUCUUCUUAUCAGCACGGAUGUCAACUAUGAAUACCAUGGUAUUGUUAUCUUCAAUCUUUUUCAUGGCAGAUUCAGUAGUCAAAGGAUAUUUGAGAAUCUGAUAAUGGUCCAACUUAUUCCUAGGAGGAGCACUGAUGCGUGGGUACUUCGGGUUCCGUCCUUUUUCAAUGUCUUAGGACGAUGGAAGGUAACAUUGGUCCGGAUCUUCUUGGCUUUCUUCUUGACAGUUGUCCCAGAUUUGACAAAUUUGGCAACCUUGGCUGCCUGAGCCUUUGUAUCAAGCUUUUUUGUGGUGUCAGCUUUAGGAACCAUUGCUGGAAACUGCCUUACAAAUCUUUUAUCUGAGGGGAGGAGCCGAGUGUUGAGGGGAGGAGCUGAGUGUUGCUGAAGCAGCUCUGUGUUGAAAUUUGGGACUUGGAUUUGUUUUGUAAAGCUACCUCGAGUUAUAUGUGAAAUUUAGGCCAAAUACCACUUAUCAAACUAUCUAUAGGGUGUUGUUGAACUUCAUUAUGUUAUUUGAAUGCUUAUAUGAUAUUUUGACAUUUCGUAA